CGUAUUUGUUAAAGUAUUUAUGACACACUCUAGCGAAAAAUUGGCACUUGGACUAGCGUCAUUCGCGCAAGGUUUCCAAAAACAGGCACAUGUUGCAUUAUAUGGUAUAGGAGUGGAUGAUACGUCAUUUGAGAGGAGUGAAAAUGGAACAGUGCUGACACUCGCUCGAAGAUAUGUAGAUUUAAUAAAAAAAAUCCAGCCUGAAGGUCCAUUUUAUCUUGCUGGCUACUCGUUCGGCGGUCUGUUGGCUUACGAAAUGGCAAGUGAACUGAAAAGAAAUGGUGAAACUGUUGCGAUGGUGUUCAUGGUGGAUACGUGCGCAUGGCACCCUAAAGCCCUAACAAAUGGCCAAGAAUCGAUGAGAAAGGCCACCGAGUUAACCUUGAAGUCAUCGGAAAAAUAUGUGACAAGACAACUGCUGGAAAAAAUGCUUUCGUCGAAAUGGGAAAGAGUAAACAUGACGUCAAUGAUUAUAAAGGGAAUUACAAGAUCAGGAAAAGGUUAUUGCUGUUUUGGAGGGUGAA